rnacentral:rRNA from 1 species
GAUGAACGCUGGCGGCGUGCCUAAUACAUGCAAGUCGAGCGGUAGAGAGAAGCUUGCUUCUCUUGAGAGCGGCGGACGGGUGAGUAAUGCCUAGGAAUCUGCCUGGUAGUGGGGGAUAACGUUCGGAAACGGACGCUAAUACCGCAUACGUUCUACGGGAGAAAGCAGGGGACCUUCGGGCCUUGCGCUAUCAGAUGAGCCUAGGUCGGAUUAGCGAGUUGGUGGGGUCAUGGCUCACCAAGGCGACGAUCCGUAACUGGUCUGAGAGGAUGAUCAGUCACCAUGGAGCUGAGACAAGGUCCAGACUCCUACGGGAGGCAGCAGUGGGGAAGAUUAGACAAUGGGCGAAAGCCUGAUCCAGCCAUGCCGCGUGUGUGAAGAAUGUCUUCGGAUUGUAAAGCACUUUAAGUUGGGAGGAAGGGCAGUAAAUUAAUACUUUGCUGGUUUGACGUUACAGACAGAAUAAGCACCGGCUAACUCUGUGCCAGCCGCCGCGGUAA